rnacentral:lncRNA from 1 species
CCAUGGGAUCCCAAAUCCCUUCACCUCGGGGAUCCCAAAUCCCUUCACCUCGGGGAUCCCAAAUCACCUUGGGGAUCCCAGAUCCGUUCACCUCGGGGAUCCCAAAUCACCUUGGGGAUCCCAGAUCCGUUCACCUCGGGGAUCUCACUCCUCUCAUCACAUGGGAUCCCAAAUCCCUUCACCUUGGGGGUCUCCUCACAUCCCACGGGAUCCCAAAUCCCUUCACCUUGGGGGUCUCCUCACAUCCCACGGGAUCCCAGGUCCCUUCACCUUGGGGAUCUCCUCACAUCCCAUGGGAUCCCAGGUCCCUUCACCUUGGGAAUCCCAAAUCACCUCGGGGAUCUCACUCCUCCCAUCCCACGGGAUCCCAAAUCCCUUCACCUCAGGGAUCUCCCCUCAUUCCAUGGGAUCCCAAAUCCCUUCACCUCGGGGAUCCCAGAUCCCUUCACCUCAGGGAUCCCAGAUCCCUUCACCUCGGGGAUCCCAGAUCCCUUCACCUCAGGGAUCUCCUCACAUCCCACGGGAUCCCAAAUCCCUUCACCUUGGGGAUCCCAGAUCCCUUCACCUCGGGGAUCUCCUCACAUCCCAUGAGAUCCCAAAUCCCUUCACCUCAGGGAUCCCAGGUCCCUUCACCUUGGGGAUCCCAAAUCUCUUCACCUCAGGGAUCUCCUCACAUCCCACAGGAUCCCAAAUCCCUUCACCAUGGGGAUCUCAUUCCCGUCAUCCCACGCGAUCCCAAAUCCCUUCACCUCGGGGAUCCCAGGUCCCUUCACCUUGGGAAUCCCAAAUCACCUCGGGGAUCUCAUUCCCCUCAUCCCAUGGGAUCCCAAAUCCCUUCACCUCGGGGAUCUCCCCUCAUUCCAUGGGAUCCCAAAUCCCUUCACCUUGGGGAUCCCAGGUCCCUUCACCUCGGGGAUCCCAAAUCCCAUGGGAUCCCAAAUCCCUUCACCUCGGGGAUCCCAGAUCACCUCGGGGAUCUCAUUCCCCUCAUCCCAUGGGAUCCCAAAUCCCUUCACCUCGGGGAUCUCCUCACAUCCCACGGGAUCCCAGGUCCCUUCACCUUGGGGAUCCCAAAUCACCUUGGGGAUCCCAGGUCCCUUCACCUCAGGGAUCUCACUCC